rnacentral:rRNA from 1 species
UACGAAGGGGGCGAGCGUUGUUCGGAUUUACUGGGCGUAAAGAGUUCGUAGGCGGUUUGUCGCGUCGUUUGUGAAAACCAGCAGCUCAACUGCUGGCUUGCAGGCGAUACGGGCAGACUUGAGUACUGCAGGGGAGACUGGAAUUCCUGGUGUAGCGGUGAAAUGCGCAGAUAUCAGGAGGAACACCGGUGGCGAAGGCGGGUCUCUGGGCAGUAACUGACGCUGAGGAACGAAAGCGUGGGUAGCGAACAGG